GACGAACGCUGGCGGCGUGCCUAAUACAUGCAAGUCGAGCGAAGUUUUUCUGGUGCUUGCACUAGAAAAACUUAGCGGCGAACGGGUGAGUAACACGUAAAGAACCUGCCUCAUAGACUGGGACAACUAUUGGAAACGAUAGCUAAUACCGGAUAACAGUAUUUCUCGCAUGAGAGAUAUUUAAAAGUUGGUUAUGCUAACACUAUGAGAUGGCUUUGCGGUGCAUUAGCUAGUUGGUGGGGUAAAGGCCCACCAAGGCGACGAUGCAUAGCCGACCUGAGAGGGUGAUCGGCCACACUGGGACUGAGACACGGCCCAGACUCCUACGGGAGGCAGCAGUAGGGAAUCUUCCGCAAUGGGCGAAAGCCUGACGGAGCAACGCCGCGUGAGUGAAGAAGGAUUUCGGUUCGUAAAGCUCUGUUGUUAGGGAAGAAUGGAUAUGUAGUAACUAUACAUGUAAGAGACGGUACCUAAGCAGAAAGCCACGGCUAACUACGUG
rnacentral:rRNA from 1 species